GGUAAAAUCGCUCUUGUAUGUGGAUAAUAUGCCAUCAGCAUAACUUUGUUGACUUGUAUACUUUUUUUUACACAAUAAUCUAAGUACAUGUGUAUAUGAUUUUCAAUCUACUUGUAAAAAUCUGGACAGUCCGUUUCAACAAUUACCAUAAUCAUGAUAACCAUGAUAAUAAGGGACUUAAAAUACGGUUUUAUACCCAACUUCGAUUCCAUGAUCAAUUUUAUCUAAGCAUUUAAAACUGACAGGUUCAUUCAGUUGUCAUAAAUGCAAGACGUCUGCAAUAUAAAACGUAAAAAAAAUAUUGCCAAAAGAGAAAUGCAAAAACUAAGGGGAAUUUUCCGUAGAGACUGACAUUCAAUCACUAGGUGGCGUAUCGCGAUAGAAUGCUUCUCUCUCAUUGGUUAGAUUUUUAGUAGAAGAAAAAGGGACAAAAUGGCGAAGAAAACACCAAGAACUUGCUCAAGAAAAACAACAGAGAUGAGAAGGUCUUUUGACUCUACACAGAAGAAAGGCACCUCAAACGACAGAUUAGAUACAGAUAUCCAUGGAACAAAUCAUCUGAAAAUUAAGAGAGGAUGAAGAAUACUUCUGUUAAAAAGUUGAAGUAACUGAUGAGCAGAUCAAUCCAACUUGAACAUGAUAUCAUUUCUCCAAUGAUGAAAACAAGUCUCUCUAUACUCAAGCAUUGAUAUUUUUAAAGUCAACUGAAACUGGAACAGAUCAUACAUGCAGACUACAGUGAUGUGUUGCACAGUUCCGAAAACAUGCAGCCACCACUAGCAUAAGCAUGAUAAGUGUAAGUGGGUCAUCAAAGAAUGAGAACCACUCAAGGACUUUUCUGUUGGUUGAUGAUGGACUACAAACUGAAUUUUUAACAAAGGAAUCCACCUUGGUGCUUAUUGGCUACUUAUGAUGUGAACUUGUGCAUUUAUUAUACCAAGUAAUUUUACAUUUCCUUAAUAAUACUAGACUUGCAUAAACCGAAUUCUGGUUUAGUUGAUUGAUUGCAGUAAUGCAGUUCUAAAUUCCUCUCGCAAGAUUAUAUCUCUGAUGUAUGAGACAUCAUUAAAUGCAGACAUUUUCUCUGUCCUCCUGUCGUGACUUGAGGGCUCGGACUUAGCUGUAAAAAUGUUUAUGAUGCAAGAGAAAAAUGUUCAACCGAUGUAUGUAAAUGUUGAUAAUAACAUUAAAUAUUCUUUGAUAACUAG